UUAGUCCAUAAUUGAUAAUAAUUAUCAAAUACAAAUAAAAAUACUAUAAUAUCUAUUUUGUAAAAUUUUCACCACUAAACAUACGUUUACAAAUUUCCUCUAGCAUGCACCAACUUUAGCCGUCUGAUCUGAUCGAGCUCCUUCAGAUCGCUGACGAGUCACGAUCCACCCAUUCUGUUCCGCAUCCGUGCUCGCGCAAAUAGUCCCGGCCGCUGCCUCGCGGUCGCCUUCCUCUCGUCCGUCGAUGGCGGCGGCCGUCGCGCCUCCGCGGGGACAGCACAUCGAGGUACUGUUUGCCACUCACCUGAAUACCUGAUGCUUUCUGCCAUGCGGGGGUUGCAUACUGACCUUUUCUCAACAAUGGUUUGCUACUUUGCUGGGCCACUGAGAUGCUGCAAUUCCAAGUCUUUUAAACACGCCAAACUUCCAGCAUGAAGGGCACUUGAAAGAAAUUCCAAAUGCCCUGCAGCAGCAGCAGCCAUAAAGGCUCCUUUGUGAUCUCGGAUUAUGCGUCCCCAUCCUCCAGAUUUGCUAUUCUGCAAGAACGUGCCAUUACAAUUGAUUUUGUAAAACCCUUCUCGAGGUGGUCUCCAUUUUCCAUGUUUUGAUUCUGAGGGGGACGAAGCUGAUUUUAACUUUGUCAUUUGGCAAGAGUGAUACAAAACAGAGCUGCAUAGUUCUUCAGUUGUGUACUUCCUCUCCCCUUGGUUUGUUUUGUUUCUAACAUUCGACCAACACCAUAAGAGAAUGACCACUUUCAGCUUUAUUUCUUCUUGGAGAUAAGAAAUAAGAUCCAUGACAUCAAGAGCAGCUCCUUGAUUGGCCAUGUGCAUCCUCAGAUCUUCCAAGUCAAGACUUCUCCAAAGUCGAAACCUGUUUGACAGAUUUGCAAUUGAAAAAGAGGUGGCCACAGUCCUCAUCAAGGCGAUGGCACAUUGGGCAAAGGGUGUCCAGCUCUGUUACUCUCCUUUUGAUGUUUACUCUCACUGGAUGGCUGUUAUGCGCCAACCUCCACAUGAACACCUUGAUUUUGUUGGUGACAUUUAGACCCCAUAUUUUUUUAAAACAUGGAUUGAUCCAAUUUGCACAUUGAAGAUGAUGUGUCCGCCUUACAGAAAUGGCCGCGACGCUUGAUUGCCAAUGCAUAUGCAGACUUGGCAGAAAAUAAACCCUUUGGGGUCAGCACGCCAGGCAACUGUGUCUUCCAUGCCAUCUGGGACAAAGGUCUCUCUGAUUAGCUGAACAUCCCAAGUCCCAGUCAAUGGAUCAACCAAUUCAGCAACCUUGGUGAGGAGGGACCUGUUUCUGGGAGUGAUAACCUUUCUAGAGCCGUCUUCCCUGCGCCAUCCGUUUCUUAGUUAGUACAGCCUUUCUGCUCUGCCAUGUUGUGGCGAUUUGUGUUAUGUUUGCCCUCCGGGAUAGAUACAGCUCCUCGCCGUAACUAUCUUGAAUUUGUAAAUCUUCCUUAUUCCACUUAAUGAAGCACGUGCGAAGGCACGCUUUCAAAAAAAAAAAACCUUUCUAGUUCCACUUCUGGGGGUCCAUGGAUCAGACCAUUUUUUCACUUGGUUUCUGUCUAAUUCUCCAUAUUAUACCUUCCUUUAAUAGCCCCAUACCUCUCAGAAUGCUCCACCAUGUAUAAGAUAUUCCACCUUUAACAGUAGCUUCAAGAAGUUUUCCAGUUGGAAAAUAUUUGGCGCAUAAGCUGUCAGGUUGGGUAAGAAGACGCCACCCUUGUCUAGCUAACAUGGCCAAAUUGAAGGCAUGAAGGUCCCUAAAGCCCAGCCCCCCUAGAUUUUUUGACCUUGUCAGUUUGUGCCAUCCAAUCCAAUUAAUUUUGUUAACUCUUGCUGGCUCCACCAAUACCUCCCCCCUAUCAUAGAGCUAAUUUCAUAAUAUAAGCUUUUGGAAAGGUCAAAGCAAGACAAGUCGGAUAGAGCUCUACCAAACAAGGUCUAAUGUAGCAUGUGUACAAAUAUAUAUUAUAUAAUUUACUAAAAACAUAAGACAAAUACAUUUAAAAAGUAUUACAAGUAUUUUUAAAAUAAGUAAUAAACUCUAAAAGUGAUUUAAAAUAACUUACUAUCUAAAUACUUAUGCACUUUGCUCAAAAUUAUAGGGCCACGGACCACCCUCUAGCUACGCCCAUGCGGCUUACUAUAUUAUUUUUGCGAAUGCGCAACAACUUCCAUGUCUUAUGUUUUUCUUCCAACUUUGGCUCCCCAUAAAUCCCUGUGAAACACCAUUUUCUUCCAGAGUCUUCCUUCACCACCGCAUGAAUAUGAUAUCUAGAUAAGCUUUUUACUGUUAAAUCAACUUCUUUAUUCCAGAAGAGAUCUAGGCCUCCACUUAGCCCUUUACAAUCCUUCACAAUUAAGUUGGGCAUAUUAAGGAUCCAUCUGAACCUCUCAAUCCUGUUCCAAUCCAUUUUUGUUUCAGAGAGAAAGAGGAUGUCUGAGGAUUCAUACUUCUGGAGAUCCAGAAGCCCACAAACUGCCAAGGCAUUCCCCAAUUCAUACUUCUGCAGUUCCAAGCGAUUAUCCUCAUUUGGUUGGGCGGGAUUCCCCUGGCAACCUGGCCUUGCUAGCAAUAGUUUCAAUUGUUGUGCCAUCCGCUUUCAGUCAGUUAGCUGUCUUGACUGCAGUGUUAGAUGCAAUAACAUGAAAUGAAUGCAGUACAAUAUCACUCUCCUGAAUGUAUAUUUCUGUAUCUGUUUGACAACCUGCUUGGCACCUAAUCAGGUUGGUUCCUUAUCGACAUGGUAUGUAUUCUAAGCACAUGAUAAAAACCUGUUUGAUCUUUUUAGCUUCUAUAAAUAAUUCAUCUUAAUUCUACUUCUUGAAAAUACUUGUGUCUUGUAGCAUUUGCAUUGUUCAUUGAAUCUUCUGAGCUCUUUGUUCAUUCUAUCAUACCCUGUCCUACCUGGUCAUAUUUUGCUGGCAUAUUUUUCUGAAUCUUUGUUAACUGUUAAAAAUCUAUUGUUUCCCUCACUGGCUUAUUUAACUGCUAUAUGCCACUGCUGUAUAUGUUUUUGCUCUGUUUCAAAACUUUGUGAUGUUAAGUAGCAUCCGUGUGCAAGUUGGCAUGCCUAUAUUAUGCCCAGAUUGCUUAACUGUUUGAUCUAAUUUGCAAAUUGUCGUUUCCAUGUUAGCUUAUUGUUUUAUCAUUUUGAUUCGUUUGCACAAACUAGGAUCAUAAUGAGCUCCUUUUCUUUUGACCUACACUUUUCUAUCAACGUGUAUCCCUUUCAAGAGGCUCAUUAUUUGCUCACUGAGAAAACACAGAUCACAUGCCUGCUUCGCAAUAAAUUGUCUCAAGUAUCCAGUAAAAAAUAUUUGUUACAUUUAACUUCGCAUGAUCUUCAGUGCAUAUCUUUGACACUAGUGUCUUCUAGAAUAUAUUCCAAAUAUCCUUCAAAUUAUGAGAUUUUCCAAGUAUUUUUCAAUGCAAUCUACACAUAUACCCUAGACGUUUCCAAACUAAAGCAUUUGAGUUAUGGAUGUUUGUAUUCUUUAAGAAGAUUUGACCUAAUCUUGUUCAAAGCAACAUGUUUUUAUAAUCAGUGUAUAAAGUUGCUUGCUGCCUGACAUGCCAUCUGGGCAUAUAUGAUAUGAGUGCAGGUACUAUGCCGAAUCGUGAAGUGUUGUCAGACAGACAUAGCGUCCUCAUCACUGCGUCCGGAUUACAAACUCCAGCGUUUUCAUUUCCUGGCUCUUCAAUUUUAUACCUGCCUUUCUGCCUUUUUGCCUCGAGGACGGGCCUUCCGAGACACUGCGACAAUGCACUUGUCCACCCUCCAGAAAAUUAUUUACACGAGCUAGCUGCGCAAGAUCACAUCCAGGCGUACAUACGCACGGGCUAGCUGCGCAUGAUCCAGCCAUCCGAGCUAGCUGCGCGAGAUCAGCAGCUGAUCUAUGGUGCUCAGCAUCGGUUUCAGAAUUCACAUUUAUUUUUUGUAGAUAUAUAAGCUAGCCUUUUAUUUUGAAGAUAACAGAUAUUGUUCUGUUCUCUGCACCCCUGUAUAAUAAUGAAACACCGGAAACCAGCCGUACAAAGGGAAAGAAAUGAGAAAAGACUGAAACAAGGAUCUUUUAAUGGAUUUCCUUCGAUCUUAAUGAAAUCACGAAGUGUGAUCUAUAUGCUGCUGCACUUCA